rnacentral:rRNA from 1 species
UGCCCGAAAGGGUGACGAUGCGACGCCGCGUGAGCGAAGAAGGCCCUAGGGUUGUAAAGCUCUGUCAGGGGUUAAGAAAUGUAGAUAGGUUAAUACCCUGUUUAUUUGACAAAAGCCCCAAAGGAAGCCACGGCUAACUCUGUGCCAGCAGCCGCGGUAAUACAGAGGUGGCAAGCGUUGUUCGGUAUUAUUGGGCGUAAAGAGCACGUAGGUGGCUUUGUAAGUCAGAUGUGAAAGCCUUCUGUUCAAAGGAAGAACGGCAUCUGAAACUGCAAAUCUUGAGUGUAGGAGGGGAGAGUGGAACUUCUGGUGGAGCGGUGAAAUGCGUAGAUAUCAGAAGGAACGUCGGCGGCGAAAGCGACUCUCUGGCCUAUUACUGACACUGAGUGUGCGAAAGUUAGGGGAGCAAACGGGAUUAGAUACCCCGGUAGUCCUAACCGUAAACGAUGGGCACUAAGUAGAGGGGU